rnacentral:lncRNA from 1 species
GAAUCUGCCUCCUGCUUUCCUUUCCAUCCACCACCUUCCCAACCAAGAAGGGCAUUCAUAACUUUGCUGGAGAGACUAAUGUUUCUAGAACACCCUGAAACAAAAGUCCCCAUACAUGCAAAUAAUACACACCCAGAAAAGAAAACAGCCUCUUUGCAUCGACACCCUCUCUGUCUCUUCUGAAAGGAGGCUUUCUCCCUACGUGGGAUUUCCAUCCGCAGUGAGACUGGUCCCCAACUCGGGGACACAGCAGACACUCUCUCGCUCUGUGUGUAUUUCCGGGAGCAGCCAAUCAACAAAGACCUAAAGGUGUGGAUUUACACAGCCCCACAUGCUAAAAAAAAAAAA